CUCCCGCGGCUGCGGGACCUUGUGCAACCCUGAGCAUCCCCCGGGGAGGCUCCUGAGUCACGGGGUGGUGUCCCCCCCGCAUGACAUCCCUUCGGAAGGUCUUACGCCAGAGCGAGCGAGGAACACACCCGUGAGCGGUGGCCGUAGGCGGUGCUGCCGCAGGCAGCCGAGCCCCCAGGGACUGGGACGGGACACGGGGGGCUCCGGCCAGGCAGAGCUCACCCCGGCGCUCCCACCGGCGUUUGCAGCCCUGCUGGCGCACAGGUGCCACAAGAACAGCACGCUGCACAACCACUUCCUACUGAAGCAUCGUUUAUUAAUCACCUGUAUCAAGCACACAUCUGCUCAGCAAGGGUGCGUGACAGGAUACAACAGUUGACAUCUAACCCGAAGGGAGGCACAUGGUUACAGGAUCCGGCACAGCAGGAGGAAGCGUACUGAACCCUCUGGAAAGACAACCUGGGUGCAACACGGUGCCUAGGCUAUGUUGUUAGGAGGCUGAAGACCAGUGAGAAUAAAAUUAGGACUACAGCUAAAA